UCGUCGAACGGAUAGGCUACAUCUUAUGAGCGGUUCAUAAUGUCCGAAGCCGAGGAUGCUUCGGGCAAAGCCGCUAACUUAACAGCAGUCGAAGCAAUUUCGGCUAAGUUGGCAGAAGUAACCCGGUUAGCUGAAAAACUGGAUGCAAAAUUGUGCGAAGCUGGAGCAAGGACUCAACCUGUACCGAUAUCAACCUCGGCAUUACCGAUUUCUUCAACUUUAACAUCAACAACUACGACAUUAGCACGUACCACGUCUCCAAUCGUUUUAACCAAAUCCAAUACGACUACGACGACUACGACGACUACUUCAUCGAUUAUCACUGCACCUAUCGAUGAAAUAACUUCUACAUUUGUUUCUACGAAUGAUUUUGCUUCAACUUUGAUCGGUGCAAAUCCUGCCGCCGAUGUGUCCGAUUUAACUGUUUCUAAUUUUGGAUUAUUAUCAUCUUCGUCGUCUGGAGCUAUAGUCUCGCAUGUUGAAGAUACUAAAACUUCAUCGGCAGUUUCGUCCAUUCCUUCUGGCAGUUUCCCAUCGACUAUGACUUCAAACACCUCGUCCAUGAUCACCGAUGAUAGUACUGAAAAAAAACAAGAUAUCGAUGACGUUGAAAAGUUUAACGAAGAGAGCACGAACGAGGAUGUCAAUGUUGACGGUUACGUGACAGCUACGGAAUGUUCGAUCACGCCUACGGCAAGAUCUAGAAGUGAAUCUUUCGUGACAACUCCGGAAUGCGAAGAUGCUAUAGUUUCAUCAAUAAUACCUACAACAACAACUUCUACCUCAGCUUGGUGGAAACCGGAAGAAUUUAUGAAAGAACAGGAAAUAAUAAUACCAGUGGAAAUAGAAAAAUCUGAUGUACCGUUGCAAAGUUCUAAAAUGGAAGAAGAAAAAACAGGGUUGGUACCUAUAGGAAAAAUCGUUACCAUCGAAAAGAGUACGGAGGAGAAAUCUGGAAAGAUCGUAAAAGAGGUCACGGAGACGACUACUUUACGUGUCUCGCACGACACUCAUUUAGGGGUGGCAUCUUAUAAAGUUACCUCAAACACGUUGGAAGAUCAUAGACAAAAUGUCGAUAUUAAGAAGAUGCAAGAUUCGAAUCAUACUUUAAUCGAAGAUGAGAAUACAAAAUUAAAUGGUAUCGAUCGAGAUGAUAUCGAUGUCACUUCUGCCAAAGGUUUAUCCGAGCCACCACCUAAAGAGGAAUCGAAGAAAAUUCCGAUGAAUUCAACAACGAAGAAGGAAAUAACAAUCGACGAAGAAAAAUCGCAAACUAUUAGCAAGGAAACGAAAAAUGUUUGUUCGAUUACUAAAACAUAUACGAGACAUCACGAGGAUAGUGGCAUCGAGAUGUCGCCAACGAAACGAGAUAAAGAUGAUCUCGAGGGUGAGGAGUUUUUGGAAAAUGCAAGGAAGGCGAUAAUAGGGAAAAUGGUGGACGGACACGAUUCGAGGGAAACGAUGGACAAAAGUCCGGAAGGAUCUGUUGAAGAUUCGCUAACGAUUGCUGAGGAUAAAGAACAUUCGCAGGAACAGAAUUCUACUACUACCGGGAGUACACCUACUACUACCAUAAGUACUAUAGCUGUGCAAAGUGGAGAAACGCGUUUGGUUAUCGCGUUGCUACAGAGUGGAGAAUGGUUACGAUUGAAAGUAUUGGAGGUGCAACCGGAAUUAACGAAACUCGGUUCUACGGUGAAAGAAGCCACAGAAUUGUCCAACUCUCACAAUGAAGUUCUUUUGCGAUUGCAGAGUAAACAAAGUCCGGUUGAAGAAUUAUUACGUCAAGCGGAUCAAUUGAUAUCAACUCAAAGACCAAGGGCUGAAAUUUAUGCAGCUAUGGCGGAAACUUUGGGUCAAGCGUGGCGUGAUGUUAAUGAUUUGUUGGAAAGAAGAAAACAAAUUCUCGAUGCGAACGUAUUGUUUCAAUGUCGAGCAGAAGAAUGCGGAGAGAGUAUGAAAGCUCUCGAGAUGGCAUGCAAUGAUCAUUUGUUACCAAUCGAAAUAGAAGCGGUGAAGAAUUUUCUUUCGAAGAUACACGAUCUCAGAAAGACCAUGCUCGAAGCAUUGAUGGGUGCAUUGCAAGAAGGAAAAACUUUGUUGGAUAAAUUAAAGGAAAUUGCUAACGAAGGUACUUUGGAUUCCAGGCCGGAUAAAAUCAAAAUUGACGCUGAUCACGCCGUGUUGAAGGUAGAAAGAUGGUUGGAGGAUCUUCACGACAAAAGACGUUUGAUCGAAGCUUCCUUUCGUAGUAGAAAAACGCAAUUGGAACAAUGUCUUGCGCUUGCGUUAUUGGCUACCGAUCUACGAGAUUUGGAAGAGAUUCUUAACGAUAGGAUUUCAGCAUUGUCCAGCAGUUGCGAUCAGUUAGGUGACACGUCUUCAAGCGCGGAAUUACUUCUCUUCGAAUUGAAGAAAUUGCAGACCGAAGCUAAGGAGUUUCAAGAUCGAUCAAUCAAGAUUACGAAAUCAACAGAACGAUUGGUGUCAUCGGGACACUUUGCCGGCGAGCAAGCUACCGAACAAGCAUACGCUAUACUCGGUGCUGCGGCCGAUUAUGUCAACGAUUUGGAUCAGUAUGAGACAUUGUUGAACAGAGCAGUGGCAUUUUUCGAGGCCGCACGAUCGGCUAUUACGAAAUUGGAUCAAUUGGAGAUUCAACUGGUGACGACAGAACAUCCACCGUUUUCAACACGCUUAGCACGUUUCCAUAGUCAGAUGGUUAGCACGAUCGAGGAUGUUACUUCUAAACCUUUGAUGGAAGGAUACGCAUUGCUAGAUAUAACGGGAAGAGGUGCGCCCGGAGCUGAGGGUGUGAGACGUACUGUUGAAGAACUCGAGAAUCGUAAGAUACGUUUGUUGCAACGAUGCACCGCUAACGAGGAAGAAAAUCUUGAGAUAUCGAGAAUGAUUAAUAUUUUCUUGGAAAAACACGAGGAAUUGCACGUUUGGUUGAGCAACAUUGCCGAUGCUUUUCUUCAAGGUCAUCAGGAUAUGGGCAGCGAUCUGCCAAUGGCUAAUGAUUUUUAUAAACUUCAUAGUCAACUUUUGGAUGAUUUAGAAAAACGUAACAACGAAGUGGAACAUUUGGAAUUUGAGAUAUUACCGAUAAGGGAAAGAUUGGACGAGUCGCAAAGACGUGAAUUUCAAACGAAGAUCGUCGAGUUGCAAAAUUCUUGGGGUAAAACGAAGAAUAUCGUUGCACGUAGGAUAGAUUUUGGUUAUCUUUACGUACAGUUUCACGAGAUCGUUGAAGAAUUGAGGAAUAAAAUAGAAUCGUUUGAGAAUAAUUUGGAAAAUUGUAAUGACGUUUUGAACGAAUCCAAAAUCGAGGAUUUGAUUAACAAAUGGAAAACACUUCAACCGGUUUAUUUAAGAUUGUCGAACAGUGGCAAAGUUUUUCUAGACGAAGCUGCCAAGAUAAAUGAUCCGUAUUUGGAUGUAACGAGAGCAUGUUUGUGCGUGCAAACAUUGUUGGAAAUCUUUGCAAAUAAGCAAUUGACUAUCACGGAAUCUUGGGAAAAAUGGCAAACGACUAUCAAGACGUUGAGGGAACGACGAAUCGAACAUGAACGAAAAAUCGAAGAAAGUACUAGGACGUUAGAAUGGGUUUCGAAAUUUGGCGAACAAUUGUAUCCAGUUAUAACGUGUCAAUCGAUACGAGUUGAUUCAAUACUCCGUGAUUUGGAAGGAUCCAAAAGACGUAUAUUACCCGAAUUAAACAAAGCCGUUGACGAAUUAGAUUCAAGAAUUAAAAGUAUUGAUAAUCUUGUAGAAAAAGGUGAGAUGCACGUAGAUCGACAAAUUGCAGAAAGGUUAUCACAGAUGUACGAAAAAUUGCAUUCCACGGCUGAUAAUUACAAAGAUUUGUUGACGUCAUUAAUUUCAAUAUUCGAAAAUAUUCACGAGCUGGAACACAAAAUAGAAGAGGCUAAAAAUAAAGUCGAUCAUGUUACGUCUUAUUCGAAAUCGUACGACGUGGAUUCGGUUUUGAAUGAUUUUGAAAUCAUCAAACGAACAAUUACGGAUUCUUUGAAACGUAUUCAAUCGGAAAUUGAAGUAGUCAUCGGUAAGAUCAAAUUAUUGGAACCACCGGAAGCUGCUUUACAGGAUAUCGACAAACUGAGAUUAGCAUUGGACAACGUUGUUUCACCUUUUCAAUCAUUUACCGUUCAAACGUUAACGCGCAUCGAGGAACAUCGUAGAAUUUGCAUAUUCGGCGAGGAUCUUUCGCGCAUCGAUUCGGAUUUGCGCGAUUUGAACGAUCAAUUGCAAACCGUAGAUGCGAGAUUUAACGAAAAUUUGCAAGCUGCCAAAACGGCGGCCGGUGCUUUCAGUCAAUUCGAGGCAACUAUGACGAUGUUGGAACAAAGAAUAGACGUAUUUGUUAGAACAACGGAAGAAACCAUAGUAAUUUCUACCCCACACGUUAGAAACGAUUUGACAUCGUUGAAGGAAAGAUUGAGGGAUUUGAAAUUGCGCAUGGAUAAUAUUAAAAAACGUAUGGCCUUGUGUAUACAAUAUUUCGAAUUAUUGGAAGAAGCCAAAGAAUGGUACAGAGAGGGUGGUAAACUUUUGAUAGUAAUUGCCAGGAAAGCAACUAGCGUGAAAGUUCCGAAAGAUGCUAUGGAUUUGCUCGAAGAGAUCGACAAUUAUUUGAAACCUGGUGAACAAAAUCAAGAGAAUAGAAUCGAAAGAUUGAAAGAAUUGUCGACGAUUACGUUUGGCAUCGACAGAUUACCGCAAUUCAACGAAGUCAUCGUUGAAAAUCGUCAAAUGUUAGAUUCGUUCGCCGUUAUUUCGUCGGAAUUGCGCACGUUGAUUCAAAAUUUACAAAAUGCCGAAGAUUUGAGGGAAAAAUUGAGAAUGGAAAAAUUAGAGGCCGACGAAAAGUUAAACGCUGUUAAAAUAGAAAUGGCAGCUGCCGAGGCGGCCAGGGAGGAAGCUGAAAAUGCGAGAAAAAUUGCGGAAAAACUUGCCGCCGAAACGUUGGAACGUGCCGAGAUAGAAGCCAACAGAUUGAAAGAAGAACAACUUGCUAAGAUCGAAGCUCAAAAAGUUUCAUCAACACCACCGAUACCACCAUCACCGCCAACGUUAUUUUCUGUAUCAGCUCAAACGGAUAAAUUUGAUGAUACGGAUGAAAAAUAUAUUCACGAAACUCAUACAUCGGCUGUUACGAAAAAGGAAAUUCAUAUUUUGCAAAAGAUGGAAAUAGAAAAGAUCGUACCGAUCGUGCAAAAAGAGCCAAGUCCACCUAAGCAAACGAUAAUCGAAGAAUCCCAUAAAACAAUGGUGCACGAAGUUGAACAAAAGGUAUCCCCAGAGUUUACUAUUCCUUUGAACGAUGCAACCGUUCAGGAAGGUGAAAGAUUUACUUUCGAGUGUCGUUUAAUCGGAUAUCCAAUACCAGAAGUUGUUUGGUAUAAGGAUGGAAUAUCAAUUUUGAAUAAUCCCGAUUAUCUUACAACUUUCCAUCAAGGAAUUUGUACUCUUACGAUAGAAGAAACUUUUGCCGAGGAUUCUGCAAGAUUUACUUGCAAGGCAUUCAAUAAUCUUGGAUCUGCUGAAACAUCUGCAACGCUAACGGUAAAAGAAACUGCACCCGAGGAACAACCGAAUCCUCCUGUUUUCGUCAAAGAAUUAAAACAAUCUACUGCAAUUGAAGGUACUUCGCAUAGAUUGGAAUGUACAGUUGAAGGAAAUCCAUUACCGACAGUUCAGUGGUACAAAAACGAAACCAAUAUCGAUAAUUCUCCCGAUUACAUUAUAACAUAUAACAAUGGGGAAGCUUGUUUGAGUUUUGAAGAAGUAUUCUUAGACGAUAAAGGAAUUUAUACUUGCAAAGCUACCAAUAAGCUUGGACAAGUGUCUACUUCUGCUGUGCUUAAUGUAGAAUCCAUAGAAACGUCUACGGAAAAACCAUACUUCUUGACACCAUUGUCCAACGCUAUGGCAAGAGCAGGACAAAGAGUCAAAUUGGAAUGCGAAGCUACCGGUAAUCCAAUGCCAGAAUUAUUUUGGACCCACGAUGGAAAACCGAUCGAUGAGACCACUCACACCAAAAUUCAAACGGAGAGUGGUCGAACAAGUUUGAUCAUUUCUGAAGCAUUUCCAAAAGAUGCCGGUUGUUAUACGGUGACAGCUAAAAAUGAUGUUGGUGAUGCCAGUGUUUCCUGCAACGUAUCGGUUAAAGGAUUACUUCGUCGUGAAACAAGCGAUUCCGAAUUUGCCUGCAGCGACAUGGAACCAACAGAACCCAAGAUUCAACUACGUUUAAAGGAUCACGAAGUUUUCGAAGGACACGCUGUAAGAUUGGAUUGCGUUAUAGUUGGACAACCUGAACCUGAGGUGAUCUGGUAUCACAACGAUAAACCCGUAAAAGAGUCGGCAGAUUUUCAAUUACUAUUCCAAGGUGACAAAUGUUCUUUGAUUAUUCACGAAGCUUACGUGGACGAUGCCGGUGUCUACAAAGUAGUUGCAAUUAAUUCUGGUGGUGAAACGUCUAGUCAAUGUACAUUAAAAGUAUUACGAAUUUCUCGUAAUUCGGAAGAGGUGGAUUCGAAGGAUAAGAAAGAAGUACCCGUUUCUUCAACGGUACCAAGUUCGCCACCGAAAUUCGUUAAAUUGCCAACCGAUUCUUUGGUAGCCGAGGGAGAGGAUGCAAGUUUUGAAUGUGCAGUGACAGGGGAACCAAAACCAGAAGUUAAAUGGUACUUUGAUAAUAAUGAAAUCAUAACGGAUAAUAGAAUAUUGAUAAAAGAAAAAGAAGAUGGUACGAUUACGUUGAAGAUUUUAUCAUCGAUACCAGAAGACAAAGGUAAUUACGUAGUCAAGGCCACGAAUAUUAGCGGUGAGGCUAAAGCUUUUGCCAGAUUGGUCGUUCGAUCGUUGACCGACUUCAGGAAAAAAGAAGAAUUCGUCAAAAUGGAAGAGAAAUUGAUAGCACCUAGUUUCAAAGAAAGAUUUAUUAACAGACACGUACCGGAAGGUGUGUCAACCAAAUUUGAAUGCAUCGUUAUUGGGAAACCCGUACCUAAGAUUCAGUGGUUGUUCAACGAUCGACCUGUCCAUGGAAAAGAUUUCUUGGUUUCCGUUAGUGGCGAUCGGCAGGUAUUGACCAUACCAGAAACCGGAAGUUCGCAUGCUGGAACAAUAUCCUGCGUGGCGGAAAACACCGCCGGUAAGGCCACUUGCAACGCCAAAUUAGAAAUCGGUACAGAACCGAAGAGGGAGGAAGGUAUAGAAAGGAUACUAGAGUUGGUUGAAAUAAAACCUGUCGAAGACAUGCACGCGGCAAGUAGCAGCGAAAAACAUUUUUCGGCUGAAAAAAUGUCGGACGAGGCUGGAUCGGGUAGUCAAAUUUUAACUAAAAUGUCACAAACCAUUACGGAAUCAAAAACAACUCAUACAUCAACGAAAAAGGAAUUCAUAUCAUCGAUGAUGUCAUCGUCAACGGGAACACCUGGACAGGAACCUACCAGUGUUACUGUGAAAAGUACUGUUCAUAGUACAGAACAAUCAACUUCUGAAAAUAAUGCACCUCCCGUUGUUCAGUCACAGAAAAUCGAGGAAUUCGAAAAGAUUAUCCAAGAUCAACCUGGUGAAAUUCGUCAAGAAAAAACCGUUGUGGUGUCGCAAGGUGAGGAAGGUAUAAAACGUGACCCGAAAAUUGCGCAAGUACAGAAACCAAGUAGAAAAUCAACGGCGCCUAGAUUUGUAUCGCCGUUAACGGGAAUGAUAGUUGAUCAAGGUGCUGAUAUCAUUCUCGAAGGAAUCGUCGACGGCUACCCGCAACCGAAUAUUUCUUGGUCAAAGAACGGACAGGAAUUGCAAGCUAAGGACGGUGCCAAGACGAGUUAUGCUCACAAUCACGUAAGGUUGGAAUUGAAAAAUGUCAACGUGAAAAAUGCCGGACGUUACACUUGCACUGCCAACAAUGAGGUUGGUUCGGCGAGCAGUACUGCUGAUCUUGUCGUCAAAAAAACAAUCUUCCCACCUGUAUUUGGUAGACGUUUGCAAGCACAAGUAGUCAAACGUGGUGAUCGUGUUCUUAUGGAAGUUGAAAUUACUGGAACACCAGAACCUACAGUGACUUGGUACAAAGAUGAUAUUCCUAUCAAGGAACAACCACCAACAUUGAGAAUAAGACAACAAGGCAAUUGUUAUAUACUGCAGAUCGAUAAAGCUGAGAAAAUACACGCUGGAAAAUAUAUGGUACGUGCGAUCAAUGCUGGCGGGGAAGCACAAAGUAUAGCAGAUUUUGCUGUUUUUGAGCCUACACCUGACACCAUGACGGAAGUACACAAAACGGUUAUCUAUGAGAAUGUUCAAGAUAAAAAGAUUAUCCAGCCUGACGUGCAAAAGGUUGAUGUACCGUCAGCAACGACAACAUUGAAGAGUGACCAGAUAACAGGGAUGACAACGAUCCAACCAAGUUCAAUAUUAAAAACUAUUCCAACUCCUAGUCCACUAACAACAACAACAACAACAUUACCACCACCAUCUUCCUUAUCCACAAUCCGUAAAACUGAAGUUAUCGAAGAAAUUCCAGAAAUGAAAACGUGUCGAUCGGAAACCAUUUCGUCAACGUUUGAAUCCCAUCAAACGGAAACUAAAUCGGAGCAAAAGUUUCACAUGAAAUUGGAACACAAGACUCCGUCGAUAAUCGAACCGAAAGCUCGUCCCGAGCCAACGACCACGGUAAAAAAGGUUGCUAAAGAAGAUUUCAUUUCAAAGUAUGUCGAACCAAUAACGCCUUCUGCUGCCACCGUGGAAGAACAAACGAAAAUCGAAAACGAAAAUAUAGAGACAUCGACUAUCGCGAAAAAGGAUGCGUUAAGUUUUUUCGAAUCAAUUACGAAGGAGAGUGAAAGUGUACCCAAGGGACCGAAGGAAAUGAUCAAAUUGACCGAGGAUACCGAUGGAAAGGGUCACGAGAUUAAAGUUGGAAAAUUAACUCAAAGUUACGAACGAUCAACCGCGUAUCAGGAGAUCAAAAAGCCCGAACCCAAACCGAUGGAUUUUCAAACGACUAAGAAAUCCGUCCAAGACAUUUUCACCAAGUUGGAACACGGAUCCUCAUCCCGUGGGGUUGAUAAUAAAUUAUUCGAUUUCCCGUAUUCGGAUUACAAAUCACCAUUGUUGGAUACUAAAAAAACGAUUAUGGAAGAUAUCACCGUAUCCAGUUCACCGAUUGAGAGUGGAUCAACGUUUUCGAGAUUAGAAACGAAAUCGGAAAGUAGUGAAACUAUGAUGAUGAAAGGAUUCACUCUAGUACCGGAACCACCACCUGAAAUAGGAUACAUGCCUAAACCCGAGGAGAUUAAAAAAAAGAGUCCUGAGGUACCGAUCAAGGCCAAACAACUUCAAGAAUCGUUCGAGAAAACUUUAUCACCGAUAGAUGCACCGAUUGGCGGUGUUAAAAUAUUUCCAACGAUUCCGCAAAAGGUUUUAGAGAGUCCUAAGGUUGUAAAGAAACCAUCAAUGAUGCCACCACCGCCAUUUGAGUUAGAUAAAAAGGAAGUUGCUGAAGAAGUGUGCAUUAAGAAGGAUGUACAUGAGAAAAAGGAUGAUAAAAUGUUGAAGGAAGAUAAAAUAGAGUCACCAAAGUUCGUUCCAGCAGCGAGUAUCAUCAGAUCAGUUUCACCUAGCAGACCUUGGUCAUCGUCAUCAGACGUGGAAACUAGAUCUCACGUAUCCACGGAUAUUUCCGAAUACAGGUGUCACUCAGCUGCGUCCAGUCAUCAAGAAAUAUUACGAUCUAUAUCGCCAAGACCCUCGGUCGAUGGUUUAGCUAUGGAAAAAUCAUGGGCAAAGAAGAAUACGGAAGCAACGCGAAAAUCUUGGCCACCAACACCACCACCACCGAGUGAUUCCACUCCGACGGUGAUCAAACAAUUUCCUACUGACGAUUACAAAACUUCGACGAAAGAAUUUAAACAGGAAACCGAACGUACGGCAGAUGGUGGUAUCAAAAAGACUAGUGUAGAAUCAUCUAGUACUUUGGAAAAACAUUCUUGGAGUUCUAAACAGGAAUCCAUGGAAAAAAUUGUGGAAAGAGCACCGUCCCCGCCUAAGGUACCACCGAUCAUUUACAAAGCUGAAACGAUUAAAGUCGAUCAUGCUAUCAAUACGAUUCAAGAACAAUCAAUGCACGAAAAGUAUCUCUCGGAAUGCGACGUAAAGAAACAAUCGAGUUCGGAAAAGAUCGUUGAAGAAUUUUCUUUGAAGAGUCCAUGGUCGGUUGGUACGGAUUUAAAAGCACCCGGAUUGGUCAAAAGUGUCGAACCGCCGAAAAAAAUAUUCGUACCUAGUCAAGAAUCAUCGAAGAAGACAGAAUCUUCUUAUUCGUAUGAUUCGGUUAUUUUAGAACCUGGCCCACCGCCGGAAAUUGGCUACGUGCCACCGCCGAUGAUGAAAGAGAAAAAAAUCGACAAAAUCGAGAAAUCUUUAGAAAUGUCAUUGGAGACCAAACCGGCUAAGAUACCACCACCGGGUGUUAUUAGAACUAUACCGUCAUCGGUUGCCCAAAAAAAGGAAGAACCACCACCAGUCUUACCACCCAAAGAUGUUAGAAUCACCCCACCACCAUUACCCGCUAAACAAUUACCUCUGGAUAAUUUAGAAGCAUUUCCGUUUAAACCAUCAGCCUCACCGACUGUAACGAAACCGGUCACGAAACUGGUGCCACCUGUAACGACGCCAACUAAAUUUGUUAAAGGAACUUUCGGAAGUGAUUACGAAUCGGACAUGGAUAUUCACGUUAAACCAAAAUGGCGGCCGUACGAAAGCGACAGCGAAGAGCCACGUUAUCGCAGAGUACAAGCACCAGUUUCCAAACAAACCGUUAGACCAAGAUCAACCGAACCCGAACCAUUACCACCAUCCAAAUUUGACACACCCCCGGUUGAAUUCUCAGGCCCGUCCAAAUCUCUAUUGACCGAAGAAUCGCAACAGAAAAUGUAUAAGAAAACAACAUUCAAACGUCACGAAAGGGAAACGAAACAACAACAGCAACAACAACAACAACUACCGAAAUAUCAACCGAGUCAACCGCAAACUCCACCGAUUGUUUUAAAACCAGGUUCCCCGCCGAUUUACGUUCAACCAACAACCAGUAAACCUCAGCCACCUAAAUCUCCACCAACGAAGAAACCCGAGUCUCCUAAAUUCAAGGUCAAAACUUUCCAACAAGAGAGCGGUUACAUGGCGGAUACCGAUGAACCGUUGCAACAGAAAGCAUCAAAUAUUACGAUUCAAAAAAGCUUUGGCAAACACGAUGGUUCGAGUAGUUCAGCUAGCAGUUCGCAUAUGGAAUCUCGUACGUCAUAUUCCGAGAGCAAAUCCGAAUACUUUGAAAGUAAAAGUUAUCACAGUCAUCAACAACAACAGAAAAAAGAAGUAUCAUCUUUCGUUCCUACUACUAUUACUACUACUACUCCAUCUCCUAGUUCUUUUCCUAGUUCUUUUCCUAGUCAAAAACCUGCCCCUCAGCAGAGAACGUCGUUUGUCGAGAAGACAUAUUCUUCAUCGAGUGGAACCGAGCCUACUAAAUUAAAAACUGCGAAGGAGACAGUUUUUACCACGGAUCAUUCUUCCCAUCGUAAAAUGGAAACUACCCGCAAGGUACAUGGACCCUCUCCAAGCCCUUCCAGAUUUGUCAAGGGCGAAUUUCGCGAGAGCGAUUACGAAAGCGAUUACGAUGGUAGAAUAUCGUCAGUAUGGAAACCCCGAACAACAGUCGAGACCGACGAUCGUUCUUUUAAACCAGUGAAACCUACUCUAACUGGUCCAGCUUACAACAAGUAGACACCUCCCGGCAAGCUUUCUUCUUCUCCUCUCGUUGUAAACCUCACGAGACAAGUUCUCCUAUCUUCUUCUUCUUCCUCUGCUUCGCUUGUCUCUAUCUAUCUUUACUCUUCUUGGCUACUCUCUAAGAAAACUUAAGGAACCGAUCGUGUCAAGCCCAGCUGAUAAAAUAAUCGAAGAAACCUCGUCAUCGAGUUACGAUAAAAGAACAU
rnacentral:misc_RNA from 1 species